GACGAACGCUGGCGGCGUGCUUAACACAUGCAAGUCGAACGAAGAGGCCCUGCCGUUGGGGGGUGCUCGAGGGGCGAGGGGGUGUGAAACACGGGAGAAACCCGCCCAUGUCUGGGGGAUAUCUGCAGGAAACGGGGGAAAACACCGGAUAGGAGCUACUGCCGCAUGGGGGGGGGUGGAAAGUUUCGGCUGUGGAGGAUGGACUCGCGGCUUAUCUGCUUGUUGGGGUGGUAGUGGAGUACCAAGGCUACGAAGGGUAGCCGGCCUGGGAGGGCGACCGGCCACCAUGGGACUGAGACAGGGCCCAGACUCCUACGGGAGGCAGCAGUGGGGAAUAUUGCGCAAUGGGCGGAAGCCUGACGCAGCGACGCCGCGUGCGGGAUGACGGCCUUCGGGUUGUAAACAGCUUUCGGCUGUGACGAAGCGAGAGUGACGGUACCUGGUCAAGAAGCACCGGCUAACUACGUG
rnacentral:rRNA from 1 species